GUCAGAUUGCCCAUCUGCUGUUAUCUGUCACACAGCAACAAAACGUAGUGGGAUAUUGGUGGGAAGGUUCAACCUCUACUGCCACACCGCCAACAUGUGCCUCUGGUGUUGUGGGCCAACAGCAUAAAAUAGGAGGCAUUAUUUUUGGAGCAGCCAUUGCUGUAGGAAAAGAGAAGCCUCUGAAGACCUUGUGAAAAGACUAAUGGAGCUAUCAGGACAAGGACAUCUUGCAAGAGGAUCUCAUCCAAUAAUUCCAUAAACAGACAGAAGUUCAUUCUUCUGAAGUUCAGGGGUCCUGACUUUGCUUUUUGCAAGACGCUCAAGAUCACAAACUCAUGUAUUCCUCAAGAUCACAAACUCAAGCAUGAUGGCCACAGCCCAGAGUGUCUCAAGUAUUAUCCUCUUUAGUGACCUCUGCAGUGUGGAAUGAGCUAUUGUGACCAGAAUCUGUCCAAGAAAGCCCAGAAGCAAAGUAGCGGCAAGCAGAGGUGGCUGGCAGAAAACAUGACUAGGUGACAUCUGUUUUUCUGGAAUCAAAGGCAUUUCACAUGCAUUAAUACAGCCUCAAAGCACCUCUAGCCACUGUGGAAAUAAAUACUUGGAAGACAGAGGAAGAAAAAUGAAAAGGAAGGAAAAAUUUGGGUUGAAUAUUGUCUUGUUCCAUCCAUUUUAAUUUUAUUUAAAUAUGACAUUCUGCACCUCUUGGGAAAAAAAAGAAUGUUGAAAUGAGCAGCCAGCAGAAGAUAUCUUCUCGUACAACAUCCUGACACCUGUACUUGUGUUAUGAGAGAGAGAGGAGCAAAAGGCAGCAGUGACUCAUCCAGUCAGCAUGGAUGCCAGACUUCUGCAAUGCACUCAGAGAGAAGGUGAACUGAAGACAGCCAGAAGACAGAAGCUGAAUUUGAAUGGUUUAGUGCUAAAUGCAAC
ensembl:lncRNA